rfam:Ictidomys tridecemlineatus contig026955, whole genome shotgun sequence.
GGGGUUGUGACUCAGUGGUAGAGCACGCACCUUGCAUGUGUGAGGCACAGGGUUCGAACCUCAGCACCA